AGAAUCUGCCCUCAGGAGGGGGAUAACGGUUGGAAACGACCGCUAAUACCCCAUAUGCCGCGAGGUGAAAUGAAUUUCGCCUGAGGAUGAGCUCGCGUCUGAUUAGCUAGUUGGUGGGGUAAAGGCCUACCAAGGCAUCGAUCAGUAGCUGGUCUGAGAGGAUGAUCAGCCACACUGGGACUGAGACACGGCCCAGACUCCUACGGGAGGCAGCAGUGGGGAAUUUUCCGCAAUGGGCGAAAGCCUGACGGAGCAACGCCGCGUGAGGGAUGAAGGCCUCUGGGCUGUAAACCUCUUUUAUCAAGGAAGAAGAUCUGACGGUACUUGAUGAAUAAGCCACGGCUAAUUCCGUGCCAGCAGCCGCGGUAAUACGGGAGUGGCAAGCGUUAUCCGGAAUUAUUGGGCGUAAAGCGUCCGCAGGCGGCCCUUCAAGUCUGCUGUUAAAAAGUGGAGCUUAACUCCAUCAUGGCAGUGGAAACUGUUGGGCUUGAGUGUGGUAGGGGCAGAGGGAAUUCCCGGUGUAGCGGUGAAAUGCGUAGAUAUCGGGAAGAACACCAGUGGCGAAGGCGCUCUGCUGGGCCAUCACUGACGCUCAUGGACGAAAGCCAGGGGAGCGAAAGGGAUUAGAUACCCCUGUAGUCCUGGCCGUAAACGAUGAACACUAGGUGUCGGGGGAAUCGACCCCCUCGGUGUCGUAGCCAACGCGUUAAGUGUUCCGCCUGGGGAGUACGCACGCAAGUGUGAAACUCAAAGGAAUUGACGGGGGCCCGCACAAGCGGUGGAGUAUGUGGUUUAAUUCGAUGCAACGCGAAGAACCUUACCAGGGUUUGACAUCCUGCGAAUCUCUUGGAAACGAGAGAGUGCCUUCGGGAACGCAGUGACAGGUGGUGCAUGGCUGUCGUCAGCUCGUGUCGUGAGAUGUUGGGUUAAGUCCCGCAACGAGCGCAACCCACGUCUUUAGUUGCCAGCAUUUAGUUGGGCACUCUAGAGAGACCGCCGGUGAUAAACCGGAGGAAGGUGUGGAUGACGUCAAGUCAUCAUGCCCCUUACAUCCUGGGCUACACACGUACUACAAUGCUACGGACAAAGGGCAGCAAGUUCGCGAGGACAAGCAAAUCCCAUAAACCGUGGCUCAGUUCAGAUCGUAGGCUGCAACUCGCCUACGUGAAGGAGGAAUCGCUAGUAAUCGCAGGUCAGCAUACUGCGGUGAAUACGUUCCCGGGCCUUGUACACACCGCCCGUCACACCAUGGAAGUUGGCCACGCCCGAAGCCGUUACUCCAACCCUCGGGAGGAGGACGUCGAAGGUGGGGCUGAUGACUGGGGUGAAGUCGUAACAAGGUAUCCGUACCGGAAGG
rnacentral:rRNA from 2 species